AGUGAGAACACUAAUUUGUUAAUGGUAGUGUCGGUGGUUUACUUCACCUCAUCUCAUUUUUCUCUUUCACUUCACUUCCACACACUAUUCCUUAAAAUUCUUUUUAUAUCAAAUAAAAAGUCCAAACAUCACCUCUAUUUAAUCCACUCAUCAUCUUCUUGAUUCGUCAAAAAUAAAAAAUCAAAAAAUUUCUUACUCUCAGUUUUGCUUAUAAAGAUCUAAUCUUUUCUGAAUUGGGUGAAAGAAAAAUCAUGAGAAUAUACCAAGAAAUGAAAGAUGAAGAAGCUCAAUCAAGAAUUAGUACAAAUACAGUAACAACAGUUUCUUCAGUUUCAGUAGUAGCAACACCAGCAGCAGCAGCAGCAACAUCAACUGUAAAAAAAGAUCAAGGAUUUAGUGGGGUAUUUGGUAAAGGUAAAUACAAAUUGUGGGUAUUGGCAGCAAUUCUUUUGCUAGCUUUUUGGUCUAUGUUUACUGGCUCACUUACUCUUAGUCUCAACUGGUCUACUUCAAAUCUCAGCCGUUUAUCUCAUGCUUCUGAUUUCACGAUCCAUGAAGAUCUUGAUAUUCUGGUAUUGGAGGAAAGAGAGAAGAUGGUAAAACAUAUGUGGGAUGUGUACACACAGAAUAGCAGGAUCAGGUUGCCUAAGUUCUGGCAAGACGCUUUCCAAGCAGCGUACCUAGAUUUGACGAGUGAUUCACCAGCUACCCGAGACACUGCUGUGUCGGAGAUUGCCAAGAUGUCCCUCCGCUCCACUUCCACUUAUGAAUCACCUUCCAACAAGAAACCAGAACCAAGGUAAAUUUUUCCAGUGAGACUUGUUUUAUUGUAUAUAUAUCAAUCAACUACGCGUCAGUUCCAAACUAGUCGAAAUCAGACUGUAUGAAUUCUUGAUAUACGUUCUGCUCAAAGUUCUGACAGUAAUUAGGGAGUUCCUUAAUCCUUGUUCUUCUCUUUACUGUGCUUUGUCAUAUGGGAUGAGGAUUAGCUUAGCGUGCAACUUAAUCUUGAGGGGCAACCGUUGUCUAGUGGUAAAUGAAAUAGAUUGAGAACUAUGAAGCCUAAGGUUCAUAUUCCAACGGAAGCAAAACACUAGGUGAUCUCUUCAUUUCUCUCCAAGCCUCAGUGGAUAGAGUUAUGUGAUGCCGGUGAGAUAGCAGAUACCCAAUCUGAGAAGCAGAGAAAGCAAAAGGAUCGAAAAGUCCGGCGAAGACGACAACUACAAAGAAACAGAAAUGAUGAUGAGGGAAAUAGUUGUGUUGAGAAUUAAGAUGCAAGGUAGAUGCAACAAAGUUGUGGUUGAACUCAUUCUUCUUGGUAGUCAAAGUUCUUUACUUGUAUUUAUACUACUACUACUAGAGCUUUAUUUAGAUCAUAAGAUCAAAAUUUAGUGAAGGCAAAGGUCUUCCUUUUGAUUGUUUCCACUUAAUAAUAUGCCAUUUUAAAAACAGCUGGUUAAUUAUGUUGUUAACUAAAAUCGGUUAUUCUUAUUUGGUUGAUCCAAAUCAUAUAGUAGUUCUCUCCA